ACAUGUCGGGUUCCUCCAAGAUCUCGGAGACUCGGAUUCGGGCGGCGGAAUUUCCGGCUAGCCAGUCUCCAGAGAUCGAGAUCGUGGAGGAACCUGAUAACUUCU